AGAUCAGAUGAAGCACAAAGAAAAUAGCUGGAAUGUGGGUGAAGAGAAGAGUUGAGGAAUCCAAGCUGAGGCUGGGUGAAAAGUCAUCUUUUGGAAAUGAAGUUUCCAAUGGAUCCAACCGCAAGGCUCUGGACAGAGGUAAAUGCUGACUCCAUCUCUUACUUCGUCUGAUCCUGUCUCCGAAGGUCUAGCUUUCUUGGGAGCAAUGACAGGAGAAAGGGAUCCUUCAAAAUCAAGCUGCAAGAAAUAAAAAGGCAAAAUUAACUAUUGUAAAACCCCUGAAAUUACAUACAUGAAUCACCAACAAGAACUAAAGAAACAAUCCACAGGAAAACACCUACCAGAGUUACUCUGUUGUGAACAGGGUCUCGCACAGCGUGAAUGAAAGUUCCAAGUUGUUGGAAAGUACAAUCAUCAAUGUAAGAGGAGUCAUGAAGUUUGGAAGAAUCCCUCAACUCUGGAACUGGAGACAACAGCACUCCCUGCAAAGGGACAAAACAAUAAUUAAAAGCUGAAAUUGUGGGUAGCUGGACAUGAAAACCUCGCAUCAAGCAACAUUAUCUCCAGACCUAAUGCUUUUUGAAUUGUUCUGAGGUGUCAAUGACCCAAGAGCAACAUUUCCAGCACUGCACAAGGCAAAUCAGACAGCAACUCCUGCUUUUGACUAGAUUUGAUCCGAGGACCUGCUCACCUCCCCAGGAAGUUGACAUCAGAAGUCUCCUAAAAUGGCCUAAAGAAGUAACUGCUGUAGCAGCUUACUACAUAUCAAAUACACUUGACAUGACACUGGUAACAGAAGUUACAAUAGCCCCGUUGUGACACAGGAAAUUUCAACCAUCUUUCCCUUGGGGUACCCAGAAAAACCCAC